UGCAUCGAUGAAGAACGCAGCGAAAUGCGAUAAGUAAUGUGAAUUGCAGAAUUCAGUGAAUCAUCGAAUCUUUGAACGCACCUUGCGCUCCUUGGUAUUCCGAGGAGCAUGCCUGUUUGAGUGUCAUGAAACUCUCAACCUUCAACUUUUUUAUUAAGGCUGAAGGCUUGGACUUGGGCGCUGCUGGUUUUUACUAACCGGCUCGCCUGAAAUGAAUUAGCAGAUCCUUUUUGUAAUCGGUUCCACUCGACGUGAUAAGUAUUUCGCCGAGGACAUACGCAAGUAUGGCCGAGAUAAAGGAAGUCUUUAGAUCCGCUUCUAAUUCUUAGAUAGAGCUUGCUCUACUAAACCCCAUUUUAUGAUCUGGCCUCAAAUCAGGUAGGACUACCCGCUGAACUUAAGCAUAUCAAUAAGCGGAGGA
rnacentral:rRNA from 1 species